UGCGCGUGCGCAGCCGUGAGAUCCUGUUUCUGUCGCCAGCCAGUUAAAGCCGUGACUUGCUGCUGGCAGGGGUGGAGGUGGGCGUUGGUUUCUAAGGCUCUCGUACUUUCCGUUACUACUCUUCUCUUGUGUUCCGGGUUGGCCUUACAUUUCUUCCAGUGUAUCUGAAAUAACCUUGAAAACUAAUUCUUCUGCCCCAGUCUCCAGAGUUCUGAGAUUAUCAACAUGAUUGUUACCACAUUGUGGCAGAGACAGAGACAACAUAGGGCUUUCUGGCUGCUUAGGAAUUAAAAAAUGCUAUAUAGAUGUUCAAGUAUAAACAUCUGAAAAAAAA